GACAGAGGGUGCAAACGUUGCUCGGAUUUACUGGGCGUAAAGCGCAUGUAGGCGGGGAAAUAAGUCGGGUGUGAAAUCCCUGGGCUCAACCUAGGAACUGCAUCCGAAACUGUUUUUCUAGAGUGGUGGAGAGGAAAGCGGAAUUCCGGGUGUAGAGGUGAAAUUCGUAGAUAUCCGGAGGAACACCAGUGGCGAAGGCGGCUUUCUGGACACCAACUGACGCUGAGAUGCGAAAGCGUGGGGAGCAAACAGG
rnacentral:rRNA from 1 species